rnacentral:rRNA from 1 species
UACGGAAGGCAGCAGUGGGGGAAUAUUGCACAAUGGGCGAAAGCCUGAUGCAGCUAUGCCGCGUGUAUGAAGAAGGCCUUAGGGUUGUAAAGUACUUUCAUCGGGGAGGAAAAAACAAAACUAAUAAUUUUAUUUCUUGACGUUACCCGAAAAAGAAGCACCGGCUAACUCCGUGCCAGCAGCCGCGGUAAUACGGAGGGUGCUAGCGUUAAUCAGAAUUACUGGGCGUAAAGAGCACGUAGGUGGUUUUUUAAAGUCAGAUGUGAAAUCCCUGGGCUUAACCUAGGAACUGCAUUUUGAAACUGAAAUACUAGAGUAUCGUAGAGGGAGGUAGAAUUCUAGGUGUAGCGGUGAAAUGCGUAGAUAUCUGGAGGAAUACCUGUGGCGAAAGCGGCCUCCUAAACGAAUACUGACACUGAGGUGCGAAAGCGUGGGGAGCAAACAGGGAUUAGAUACC